rnacentral:rRNA from 1 species
AGAGUUUGAUCCUGGCUCAGAUUGAACGCUGGCGGCAUGCCUUACACAUGCAAGUCGAACGGCAGCACGGGGGCAACCCUGGUGGCGAGUGGCGAACGGGUGAGUAAUACAUCGGAACGUGUCCUGUAGUGGGGGAUAGCCCGGCGAAAGCCGGAUUAAUACCGCAUACGAUCUACGGAAGAAAGCGGGGGACCGAAAGGCCUCGCGCUAUAGGGGCGGCCGAUGGCAGAUUAGCUAGUUGGUGGGGUAAAGGCCUACCAAGGCGACGAUCUGUAGCUGGUCUGAGUGGACGACCAGCCACACUGGGACUGAGACACGGCCCAGACUCCUACGGGAGGCAGCAGUGGGGAAUUUUGGACAAUGGGGGCAACCCUGAUCCAGCAAUGCCGCGUGUGUGAAGAAGGCCUUCGGGUUGUAAAGCACUUUUGUCCGGAAAGAAAACUUCUGGGUUAAUACCCUGGGAGGCUGACGGUACCGGAAGAAUAAGCACCGGCUAACUACGUGCCAGCAGCCGCGGUAAUACGUAGGGUGCGAGCGUUAAUCGGAAUUACUGGGCGUAAAGCGUGCGCAGGCGGUUUGUUAAGACAGAUGUGAAAUCCCCGGGCUUAACCUGGGAACUGCAUUUGUGACUGGCAAGCUAGAGUAUGGCAGAGGGGGGUAGAAUUCCACGUAGCAGUGAAAUGCGUAGAGAUGUGGAGGAAUACCGAUGGCGAAGGCAGCCCCCUGGGCCAAUACUGACGCUCAUGCACGAAAGCGUGGGGAGCAAACAGGAUUAGAUACCCUAGUAGUCC